UAUACUUGAGCUUGUUUGUAAAAAUCUGAGUGUUUAGAUGAUUUUCUUAUUGUUAAAUGAAUAAUGAACCUUCUCCUCUCCUCUCAAUCUCCUUCACCUUCCUUCUCUCUCCUCACCGACACUCCCUCUCCCCACCUUCGACACCCUCCUCUCUCUGUCCUGAGCCGCGCACCACCAGCGCCUCCACCGUACUCCGUUCUCCCUCGUCAAUGCUUCUGAUGAUGUGUGUUGUUUGUUUGUUGAUUUGUUUCUGCCACCUUCCUUGCUCUACCUCCCUCUCGUGCUCUGGGUCGCCGCCGCCACCGACGGUGACGUUUCGGGAUCUCCAUGCUUGCUACACUACUUGAUUGGUAAUCUCUUAAAUUCUUAUCACUAAUUUAUUGAAUUCAAGUAAAACCCCCAAAUUGAAGAAAACCCUAACUUUCUCUUUUUUUGGGUUUCUCUCUCUUCUUGUUCGGUGCACCACUUCCUCCGCCGGAGUCGUGAUUUGGUGGUGGUGAUGCCCACCCUGUACGUGGUGGUUGUUAGUCGUCUGAUGUUGUUGCUCUUCUCCCUCUCUCCACUUGCUCUUCCCUGUCAUCUCUCUGGCUCUCCGCCAGGCUCUCCCACCACUGUGGCGGUGCGGCGUAGCUGGUCUUGCUGCUUCUUGGUAUUAUUGUUGGUCACUUUGUUGUUGUUGAUGUGGAAGCUCAUGUUGCUAAUUCUGCCUUCUAUAUUCCUUAAGGAUUUGGGAGUGUUAAAAUAUUUUUUGGGGCUAGAGGUAGCUCGAAGUCAUGAGGGAAUUUAUCUUUGCCAGAGAAAAUAUGCAUUGGAAAUAAUUGAAGAAACGGGUUUAUUAGGGGCAAAACCGACAGAAUUUCCAAUGGAGCAACAUCACAAACUGGCAUUAGCGACCGGUGCGCUACUUGAAGACCCAUAACCCUAUCGAAGACUUGUAGGGAGAUUGAUUUACUUAUCAGUGACUAGACAUGAUCUUGCCUAUUCAGUACACAUCUUAUCUCAAUUUAUGCAACAACCUCGUGAAGAGCAUUGGGAAGCAGUCUUGCGGGUUGUGAGAUAUUUAAAGAAAAAACCUGGCCAAGGAAUUUACUUCUGUCCGAUAGUGCUUUGGUCUUGGAGGGAUGGUGUGAUUCUGAUUGGGCUAGUUGUCCACUUACAAGACGUUCUUUAACAGGGUGGUUGGUGUUGCUUGGUCUUUCGCCAAUCUCUUGGAAAACUAAGAAACAACCAACCGUUUCUUGUUCUUCUGUUGAGGCGGAAUACCGAUCUAUGGCAGCAACUACAUGUGAGCUAAAAUGGCUUAAACAAUUGCUCGGUGAUUUAGGAGUUUGCCAUCCCAAAGGGAUGCGGUUAUUUUGUGAUAGUCAAUCUGCUUUGCAUAUUGCUCAGAAUCCGGUGUUCAAUGAACGGACAAAACAUAUAUUGAAGCCGACUGUCAUUUUGUUCGUGAUGUAGUGACUGAAGGAAUUAUUUCCCCUUCGUAUGUUCCUACGACAAUACAACUAGCGGAUAUUUUCACAAAAGCCUUGGGAAAAACACAGUUUGAGUUCCUCCUUCACAAGUUGGGCAUUCAAGACCUUCACGCUCCAACUUGAGGGGGGUAUUGAGAUAUUAUUAUUAUUAUUGCUAGUAAUGUAAAAAGAUAUGUUAGUCAACUUAGGAGUUAUGAUAAUUGUUAAUAUAGCUUAUACAUACAUAACUUCUGUCAUAGUAGAGUAGUAAUAAGGGAUAUUACAUUAGCAUUAAUUUGUGUCUGAAACUCUGCUUGCUUGUAACGUUUAUGUUACAUUAGAAUUUGUAUAAAUAGUGGGUUGAUAAAUGAGAAAGAACACACACUUUUGAGGAGAA